rnacentral:lncRNA from 1 species
AAAGGAGUACUACUGUGACUACAUCCGGUUUAAAUACACUAUAUCAACAUCCAAUAUAAUACCUCUGAAAACAAUGAAUAUCAGAAAUAUGAAGAAAAAUUUCAAGCUAAAGAAAUUGCGAAGAUUUGAGUAAUAGACCGUCGACAAUAGAAGAUAAAACGGAACACAUAUUGUGACAAAACCUACAUUCCAGGUGUACGUGUUACUCAUAUUUCUUAAUACAUCAUGUAUUAUGACUUUAAACGUCCAACAUAUAAAAAACAGAGAGUACUCCUAUCUUCUUCUUACAUGAGAAACAAUAUAUCUUGCAAUUUAAUUUCACUCAAGUAUCGAUAUCAUAAAUACAAAAGUUAAAAACCUUUUAUUAAUUUAUUUGUGUGGAACCGUUACAACCAAAGCACCGAGAUGCAUCACCCACUCUUGCCCUCAUUCAUGAAACCCGCAAAUGUCUUCACCAAGGACUUAGCAUUCUCUGUGGCGGAGUUAAAGAGAUGAAACACAUGAUUCUCAUCUCUCGUCUCCACCACCUCCACUUUCCCACCCCAACCACUCCUCUCCAACACCUCCUUAUAAUACAAUCCCCUGUGCUUCAACAGAUCCUGCUCCGCCACAAAUAUCAACACUCUCUUGCACCCCAGCCCCGAUAUCCUCGGAUCACAACCCGGAUUCAUGAACGGAUCAUCCGUUCCGCUACUCCCCGGGCACGUGUAAACCCACAGCUUCUCUAUAANUCCUUGUUAAAUUUGGUUUUGUUUUGAUUCAACAUCAAAAAUUAACUACUUCAACCGUCUUCUUUUAUAUGUUUCUUUUGAAAAAUUUUGUAUUUUAAGAAAAAAAAUUUGUUGAGUAUUUAAUUUCUUUUUUUAUCACUAAUACAUACACUGCAUUAAAUGAUUUUUGUGUAGUAUAUGUGUGGUAGUCAAAAAUGAAAACUUGUAUUCUGAGGAUAUUCUUUAGAAAAACAUUCAAAAAUUUGCUUUGAAAAAAAAACAGGGACAAAUAUUUUGACACAAAUAUUUUUUUUUCAAAAAGACCAUGUAAAAAAGGGACGGAGGGAGUAUUUCGUUCUUUUUUGUUCUAUCGUUGUAUGAAAAAAUAAACUUGGAAUUAGUAAAACACGGGCUAUAUUUUGGUACUUUUCAUUUUCGGAGUUAUAGUCCUUAAAAGAUGAAUUUCUAGGCUGUUUAAUUUUCUUCCACGGUUUCAUACAUAAAUUGAUAAGGAAAAAAAAACCCCAAUCUCACUGAUACAAUUAAAUCAUUUCUUUGGAUUUUUAAUUUCUGUCGAGAGAACAAAUUUAAAAAUCCAAAUAUAUAUCCUUGCGUCAAGAUUCUGACAGAGGAUUGAUCUUUUAUGAGAAACUAUUGUUGCAGUAUCUGGUAUCUAACUAUUGUUAUCUUGCAUUCAACUCACUCUUAAAUAUAAUUUAAAGUAUUAACUCUUAAUGAUUUAAUGCGGGUUCAACUCCAACAAUAUUUGUUAUAUUUGCUUCUUAUUUUAUUUUAUAUUAUUAAAAGUAAGUUGUGUGUAUAAAACUACAAAAGAAAAUGAAUGGAGAGAGGACGUUUGCUUACAAGUUUAUUAUUAUAAAAUAUAUUAGGAGUAGUUAAGAGGAACAAAGUUCUAUGUAGUCCACAUAUUUACUGUAGUACCGUAUACCACGUAUGUUCUGCAACUAUAGAAUGGAAUAAAAACAUUGCAAAAUGUAUGAAAUUUGUUAUUUUGUGAAACCUGUGCCCUGAGGGCACAGGAUAAACAAGCCCUUGAAAAAAUUACUCAUAUUAAGAAAACAUUAUUUAGAUAUAAAUUUCUCAAUUGUAUCCCUAAUAAAUACAUGAAUGUAGACUCUUAUUUAACACACAUUAAUUGUUGCACAACUUUCAAGAAAGGCAAUUUUGAAAUAAUGUCAAUAUAUUUACAUUGGAAACUAAAAGUAAAAGUGGACAAGUAUUAUGAGGCAAAAAUUAUUUACAGAAAGAUUUUACCAAAGAUGAUGAGAAUGUGAACUCUCAACCAUUUAUGCGUUGGAGAGAUCGUUUCUUAUUUUGUGCCGAAGCAAUUUAUAAAGCACAGGCUGAAAUUGGUUAAAUCAAAAUGCAUUACUUAAACGCUACUGCGGGUACAUGUGAAGAAAGAAAGGGCUAUAUUUGCGAGAGAAUUGGAAGUUCCUACUGUAAUGAUGAUUACUUAACAGGGAGAUUCACUGCAAAUACUAAAUUAGCCCAUUAUUACCGAGAUAAUGGCCUACUUCUUCACAUCCACCGCAUAAUGCAUGCAGUUGUUGAUAGACAGAAGAAUCAUGGUAUACACUUUCGUGUACCAGCUAAAGCGUUAUGUAUUGUGGAUGAAAGGAGUACUACUGUGACUACAUCCGGUUUAAAUACACUAUAUCAACAUCCAAUAUAAUACCUCUGAAAACAAUGAAUAUCAGAAAUAUGAAGAAAAAUUUCAAGCUAAAGAAAUUGCGAAGAUUUGAGUAAUAGACCGUCGACAAUAGAAGAUAAAACGGAACACAUAUUGUGACAAAACCUACAUUCCAGGUGUACGUGUUACUCAUAUUUCUUAAUACAUCAUGUAUUAUGACUUUAAACGUCCAACAUAUAAAAAACAGAGAGUACUCCUAUCUUCUUCUUACAUGAGAAACAAUAUAUCUUGCAAUUU